UACGGAGGGGGCAAGCGUUAUCCGGAUUCACUGGGUUUAAAGGGUGCGUAGGAGGGUAGGUAAGUCAGUGGUGAAAUCCCCGAGCUUAACUUGGGAACUGCCGUUGAUACUAUCUGUCUUGAAUAUCGUGGAGGUGAGCGGAAUAUGUCAUGUAGCGGUGAAAUGCUUAGAUAUGACAUAGAACACCGAUUGCGAAGGCAGCUCGCUACACGAAUAUUGACUCUGAGGCGCGAAAGCGUGGGGAGCAAACAGG
rnacentral:rRNA from 1 species